CCGUGGAUUUCCUUCCUGGGCCGCCACCUCCUCCCUGCAGCUUCGCCCGAGGGCUGCGCGCUUCUUUUGCUGGCUCCACUCCAUUGCCGGAGACCUUCUAUCCCUCUCCCUGGCCGCACAUCCACUGGCUCACCCCGCGCCGCCCUCUCUCCACCCCUCCUCGCGCCGUCCGUCCGUCCAUGGCGACCCACCGCAGCGCUCCAAGACCUCCACGACGGCAUGGUAUGGUAGGAGGAACUUCCAAGACCUCGACGACGGUAUGAAAUCCUCCUCCCAUCCCCUUGUCUCCUUUUCUCUCCUUGUCCCCCUCGUCUCGUGUCUUGUCUUGUCUGUAGGUGAGUGAGGUAGGAGGUACAGCAGCCAGCCACCGGUUGAUGACAGCAGCCUCCUUCUCCUCCUGCCAUGGAGUGGGAUGGAAGACAUGAGCACGAGCAGAUUCACUAGCUGGACGGACCUUUAUGGUGGCUGUGAUUAGGUAGGAUCAUUGCAGAAUUACCCAAGGCAGUGCCUUGCAAUUAGGCAUUGUUAUGUCAAUCAAAUCAUCCAUCCAUACAUAUGAUUGAUUUGUUUAUAAUUAUAUGCUUGAUUUAUGAUUCCAUAAGAGUAGGCUGAUUCGGCUGCUUCCAUUCCUUCCUGUAUGUAUUGAUGCUAGCUCCUUCAACUUUGCUUCUAUUUAAUUCACACUAUCUCAUUUGCUCCUGCAUCAUGAACCCUCCAUUCACGAGGACGACACAUGGUCGAGCUCCCUCCCCGGCCAAGCGAGCUGCUGCUUCACACCAUCCGGUGACAAACUGAGGCGGCUGACUCCAUGAACGAGGAGGAGCUGCUUGAGUUUUCCCCCCAAUCUUAUCACUGCUCUGAUAUGAGUCACCCUGCUGUUUUGGUCUGCUUGAUUAUUCUUUCACUCUCCGAUCCGCCCGAGUGUUGUGAACGACAACAAGCAGCAGCUUGGUGUGUAGUUGUAAUUCAAACUCCCUGUUUAUUCUCCAUGGGACAUGGAGAAUUCUACCUACAUAUGUGUUUGUAGGUGUACACAAGGUCGUUCUUCUGGUUUUUCUUUUCGCUGCUGUGCUCUAGCCUUGCUAGUUCCCAUUCUGGUUGGUUGUGAAACAACAAAACGGGGUGGCAAGGUGAUUUUGGUUUCACUCCAGCUAGCUUCUUCUUGUGUAAUCAAAUUUGCCUAUCAGGUCCUUCCUUCCUUCCUUCCUUCCUGUAUGUAUG